rnacentral:rRNA from 1 species
CCUACGGGUGGCAGCAGUGAGGAAUAUUGGUCAAUGGGCGGAAGCCUGAACCAGCCAAGUCGCGUGAGGGAUUAAGGCCCUGCGGGUCGUAAACCUCUUUUGCCGGGGAGCAGUGGUCCGGACGUGUCCGGGCCGGGAGAGUACCCGGAGAAAAAGCAUCGGCUAACUCCGUGCCAGCAGCCGCGGUAAUAUGGUGGAUGCGAGCGUUAUCCGGAUUUAUUGGGGUUAAAGGGUGCGUAGGCGGAAAUUUAAGCCGGCGGUCAAAUGUCGGGGCUCAACCCCGGCCUGCCGUCGGAACUGGGUGCCUUGAGUGGGCGAGAGGUAUGCGGAAUGCGUGGUGUAGCGGUGAAAUGCAUAGAUAUCACGCAGAACCCCGAUUGCGAAGGCAGCAUGCCGGCGCCCUACUGACGCUGAGGCACGAAAGUGAGGGUAUCGAACAGGAUUAGAUACCCGAGUAGUC